UACAGACUCUCUGCAGAGGACGUCGGUGUGCGUCCUCCUCGUCCACAUAAACAUUGAGAAAUAUCCAGCGGUGGCCUCGGGUUUCCUGCAGGUUGGGACUUAUUAGGUGAAAGAGAAAAAGUCCAGACGGUGUGCAUCGGGAAGGAAUUUAGUCUGCCAGUGGACUCCACGUCGAGGAUUGUGACUUUCACGCCAAGCCCCGAUGGGCCGAGACGUGUCCUGCUGGAUAAGACCACUGUGAAGGAUCCACGGUUCAAGUGGACCAGAGAUAAAACGUUGGUCCUGAAAGAAGUGACUCACAGUGAUCAGGGGCUUUAUGUCAGUGGCAGUAAGGGCCUCAGCAAAGCAUCACAAAUGAGGACACUCACUGGAGCAAUGACUGCCUGAAGUCACAUUUCCUCCAGUUUGAAUGUGGAGAAACUUACUGUGAUGGCAGACAGAGUGGAGCUCAGUGUUAUGGAGCUUUGGGAGGA